rnacentral:rRNA from 1 species
UACGUAGGGUGCGAGCGUUAAUCGGAAUUACUGGGCGUAAAGCGUGCGCAGGCGGUUCGUUGUGUCGGUGGUGAAAUCCCCGGGCUUAACCUGGGAAUGGCCAUGGAAACUGGCGAACUGGAGUGCGGCAGAGGGGGGCGGAAUUCCGCGUGUAGCAGUGAAAUGCGUAGAGAUGCGGAGGAACACCGAUGGCGAAGGCAGCCCCCUGGGCUAGCACUGACGCUCAGGCACGAAAGCGUGGGGAGCAAACAGG